AGAAUUUCCUAACAUUGCUUAUUUUAAUUGGGAUUUGGAUCCUGCCAGCUCGUCCCUGCAACCCCCUACUCCGGUCCCCUCAAACCUGUCCGUGGCUGGCAGCCCUGUGAUACCUCGCCACAUUCUGCAACAGAAUCCGAGAUAGAGGUAGAAGUGGGGGAGUACGUCGUGGCUGUCAGGGCAGCUUUCUGUAAAAUGCUGCCUGGAGGAGCAUGUGAUUCCAGACCCUCCUCUCUGCAACGAAAGUGAGGUUGACACCUGCAGGCCUGGGGCCUCCUGGCCCACUGAGCAGAACACACAGAAGCUGGGCCCACCCCUGCCCUCCCCACAAAGGGUCACGGGAGCCACCGCCUGACUUUGAAGCCCACUGACUUGCGGCUGACAAGAGAAAAGGAUGUGCCCCUGUGAUCAUGUGAAAGCAUCAGCCAGGGGUCCAAGAACUUCCCUCUGGAGCCUCACACUCCCAGCGUGGCACCCAGCAGGGAACAGAUUCUCUCCAAACCUUUGUGAAUGAAUGAAGGAUGACGUCACUAGAAUCCAUCCCUGUUUUAUUUUUUAUUUUUAUUUUUUGAGACAGAGUCUCGCUCUGUUGUUGCCCAGGCUGGAGUGCGGU
rnacentral:lncRNA from 1 species